UACGUAGAGUGCAAGCGUUAAUCGGAAUUACUGGGCGUAAAGCGUGCGCAGGCGGUUUUGUAAGUCUGUCGGGAAAUCCCCGGGCUUAACCUGGGAAUGGCGAUGGAGACUGCAAGGCUAGAGUUUGGCAGAGGGGGGUAGAAUUCCACGUGUAGCAGUGAAAUGCGUAGAGAUGUGGAGGAACACCGAUGGCGAAGGCAGCCCCCUGGGUCAAAACUGACGCUCAUGCACGAAAGCGUGGGGAGCAAACAGG
rnacentral:rRNA from 1 species